rnacentral:rRNA from 1 species
UGGGGAAUAUUGCACAAUGGGCGCAAGCCUGAUGCAGCCAUGCCGCGUGUAUGAAGAAGGCCUUCGGGUUGUAAAGUACUUUCAGUCGGGAGGAAGGUGGUAAGGUUAAUAACCUUAUCAAUUGACGUUACCGACAGAAGAAGCACCGGCUAACUCCGUGCCAGCAGCCGCGGUAAUACGGAGGGUGCAAGCGUUAAUCGGAAUUACUGGGCGUAAAGCGCACGCAGGCGGUUGAUUGAGUCAGAUGUGAAAUCCCCGGGCUUAACCCGGGAAUUGCAUCUGAUACUGGUCAGCUAGAGUCUUGUAGAGGGGGGUAGAAUUCCAUGUGUAGCGAUGAAAUGCGUAGAGAUGUGGAGGAAUACCGGUGGCGAAGGCGGCCCCCUGGACAAAGACUGACGCUCAGGUGCGAAAGCGUGGGGAGCAAACAGG